rnacentral:rRNA from 1 species
UACGUAGGGGGCUAGCGUUGUCCGGAUUUAUUGGGCGUAAAGAGCGUGUAGGCGGCCAGGUAGGUCUGCUGUGAAAACUCGAGGCUCAACCUCGAGACGUCGGCGGAAACCAUCUGGCUAGAGUCCGGAAGAGGAGAGUGGAAUUCCUGGUGUAGCGGUGAAAUGCGCAGAUAUCAGGAAGAACACCGGUGGCGAAGGCGGCGCCCUGGUCCUUGACUGACGCUGAGGCGCGAAAGCGUGGGGAGCGAACAGG